UUUUACUUAGUUUUAAUCAAUCAAAAUAAUAACUUGUCGAGUUAUAGAAAAUAUAAAUUAUUAGUAAAAU